rnacentral:lncRNA from 13 species
AGAGGGUCUUGCUUUCAACCCAGCGCCUUGAGCAGGCUCAGUAGUCGCAUGCCGCCUCGCGCCACGGAGUGCCGGUAUUCUUUGCUUUGAUGGUGCAAUUAGCGUGGCUGGGUGACACUUGUGUGGGGUAAACCAAAUGGCACCGACAGCUUAGUGGAGGAUCUAUCAGGGCAUAGGAUCUAUCAGGGCAUCAACAUACAGUCAAGCUGUGAAGUCCGCAUGGGAUACAGACAUCACUAUGGAGUCGAGCCCUAUCUGUCUCAGGGGGAGAUGGAUGGAGAUGCUGCCACACUGUGAUUGUUAGUAACUGAGCUGCAUGUGAGCAGUUAUUUAGAGCAUCUGUGAUCUAUUGCUGGAGCUCAUAAAGUCAUACUGAUCUUCUGUGAUCCGCGGAGGCAAACAUUAUAGGCUGAGGAUUGAAAUACUGCACGUUCUUUACCACAGGAUUGUUCACAAUGACGACAGCGGUGGCAUUUGAAAUACUUAGCGCUUGUAUCGUAUCGGCGUGCUGUUUGCUGUGCUUUCAACUGUCGGCGGUAUACCUGUACAUUCCUGUCAUUUCUUUCAUAGAAGCAAGAUAAAAGUGGCCAACAGUCACAGGGUUAUUCUUUCCUUGCUUUCCUCAACUGUCACUGCUGGAGCUCAAUUGGACUAGACGACAGAGUGAAUGGUCUAGAAUGAGACCCAUUGUGUCUAGAAUAAGUCUGUCCCUCUUACAGCACUCACAGGAGCCACGAUGUCAGCGUUUUAGAGCAAAUAGUUAUGCAGAAAGUUGCAGGUUUCCAGAAGUGACAAGACAUGUUAAUCAGAGAAAAGGUCGCUGACCUCGGCACUGACACAAUAAACACCGUGUGGAGCUGACAUCUAGGUGAUGCUGCUCAAGCCAGCCUCUGUUCUCCUCGUAUCUCCACAAUGUGCCCUUGAAAGACACCAAGAAGGAACCGGAUUAACCCAACUGGGGUCACCUUCAUACAGCCCUUUGUCUUUGUCCGUGUGACUAAGUUGAACAGGUGCAAAGUGGGAAAAUACCAGCUUCUUCUUACAAGACCUUCAAACAGACAGUGGAAAUGUACAGGUUUAAGCCUCAUAUAGCACACGUGCAUAACAGAGUUUGUAAUUUUUCACCAUAAGACUUACCCCCCAAAAAAUUCACAGCUGUAAUCGCCGCCAAAGGUGCUUCUACAAAAGUAUUGACUCAGGGGUGUGAAUACUUUUGCGAAUUCGAUAUUUCUAUAUUUCAUUUUCAAUAAGUAUAUUUCAUUUUCAAUUUCAAUUUCAAUUUCAAAUCAAAUGUUAUUUGUCACGUGCGCAUAAUACAACAGGUGAAAUGCUUACUUUACAAGCCCUUAACCAAAAAUGCGGUUUUAAGAAAAAUAAGUGUUAAUUAAGAAAGUAUUUACUAAGUAAAAAUUUAAAAAAUAAAAUUAAAAUAAAGGCUAUAUACAGAGGGUACCAGUACAGAGUCAAUAUGCGUGGGCACAGGUUAGUCGAGGUAAUAUGUACAUGUACGUAGAGGUCAAGUGACUAUGCAUAGAUAAUAAACAGAGACUUUGUUAUUAUGGGCUAUUAUUGUGUGUAGAUGGGUGAGAAUAAAUAAAUAUCUAUUUAAUCAAUUUUGAAUUCAGGCUGUAACACAACAAAAUGUGGAAUAAGUCAAGGGAUAUGAAUACUUUCUGAAGGCACUGUAUGCACUGGUAAAUCAAAAUAAAAAAUAUAUAUAUUAUGUUUACCUUUUUUGUUGUUGUCCCACUUUACCAACCAUAGUAGUAGCUAGCUAAAAUAAGACCAUUUCGUAUCCGAAGCAUGUGACAAAUACAAUUUGAUUUGACACACACACGUGAUACACAGACAUACAUAUUAUGAAGCAGUUCCUACUGAAGUAACACCCAAGCAGUGAGGAUAGCAUAGUAAGAUAUUCUACUCUGGAACCUCAGUGUGGAUGAUCCAAAACCAGAGGAAACAUUUUAUGCUUGGCUGAACCUGAGGUGAAACAUCAACCUUGAUUUCCUCACAUGCCUUGUUCUGUAGGCUAAUGUAGCA